rnacentral:rRNA from 1 species
ACAACGAAGAGUUUGAUCCUGGCUCAGGAUGAACGCUAGCGAUAGGCUUAACACAUGCAAGUCGAGGGGCAGCGGGGUAGUAGCUUGCUAUUACCGCCGGCGACCGGCGCACGGGUGAGUAACGCGUAUCCAACCUACCUUUAACUCGGGGAUAGCCUUUUGAAAGGAAGAUUAAUACCCGAUACAAUGUAAGAUUUGCAUAUAUUUUACAUGAAAGAAUUUCGGUUAUAGAUGGGGAUGCGUUCCAUUAGAUAGUUGGCGGGGUAACGGCCCACCAAGUCUUCGAUGGAUAGGGGUUCUGAGAGGAAGGUCCCCCACAUUGGAACUGAGACACGGUCCAAACUCCUACGGGAGGCAGCAGUGAGGAAUAUUGGUCAAUGGGCGCGAGCCUGAACCAGCCAAGUCGCGUGAAGGAUGACUGCCCUAUGGGUUGUAAACUUCUUUUAUAAGGGAAUAAUCACAGAUACGUGUAUCUGUUUGCAUGUACCUUACGAAUAAGCAUCGGCUAACUCCGUGCCAGCAGCCGCGGUAAUACGGAGGAUGCGAGCGUUAUCCGGAUUUAUUGGGUUUAAAGGGUGCGUAGGCGGGAAAAUAAGUCAGCGGUGAAAUCUACCGGCUCAACCAGUAAAUUGCCGUUGAAACUGUUUUUCUUGAGUGCAUACGAGGUAGGCGGAAUGUAUGGUGUAGCGGUGAAAUGCUUAGAUAUCAUACAGAACUCCGAUUGCGAAGGCAGCUUACCAGGCUGCAACUGACGCUGAAGCACGAAAGCGUGGGUAUCAAACAGGAUUAGAUACCCUGGUAGUCCACGCUGUAAACGAUGAUAACUAGCUGCUAGCGAUAUACUGUUAGUGGCUGCGCGAAAGCAUUAAGUUAUCCACCUGGGGAGUACGCCGGCAACGGUGAAACUCAAAGGAAUUGACGGGGGCCCGCACAAGCGGAGGAACAUGUGGUUUAAUUCGAUGAUACGCGAGGAACCUUACCCGGGCUUGAAAUGUACAUGAAUUACGUUGAAAGAUGUAAGCCAGCAAUGGCAUGUAUGUAGGUGCUGCAUGGUUGUCGUCAGCUCGUGCCGUGAGGUGUCGGCUUAAGUGCCAUAACGAGCGCAACCCACAUUGUUAGUUACUAACAGGUUAAGCUGAGGACUCUAACAAGACUGCCGUCGUAAGAUGCGAGGAAGGUGUGGAUGACGUCAAAUCAGCACGGCCCUUACGUCCGGGGCGACACACGUGUUACAAUGGGUGGUACAAAGGGCAGCUACUUGGUGACAAGAUGCUAAUCUCCAAAGCCACUCCCAGUUCGGAUCGGAGUCUGCAACUCGACUCCGUGAAGCUGGAUUCGCUAGUAAUCGCGCAUCAGCCAUGGCGCGGUGAAUACGUUCCCGGGCCUUGUACACACCGCCCGUCAAGCCAUGGAAGCUGGGGGUAUCUGAAGUGCGUAACCGCAAGGAGCGUCCUAGGGUAAAACCGGUGACUGGGGCUAAGUCGUAACAAGGUAGCCGUACCGGAAGGUGCGGCUGGAACACCUCCUUU